rnacentral:rRNA from 1 species
AUGCACGCUGGCGGCGUGCCUCAUCCAUGCAAGUCGAGCGAACAGACGAGGAGCUUGCUCCUCUGACGUUAGCGGCGGACGGGUGAGUAACACGUGGAUAACCUACCUAUAAGACUGGGAUAACUUCGGGAAACCGGAGCUAAUACCGGAUAAUAUAUUGAACCGCAUGGUUCAAUAGUGAAAGACGGUUUUGCUGUCACUUAUAGAUGGAUCCGCGCCGCAUUAGCUAGUUGGUAAGGUAACGGCUUACCAAGGCAACGAUGCGUAGCCGACCUGAGAGGGUGAUCGGCCACACUGGAACUGAGACACGGUCCAGACUCCUACGGGAGGCAGCAGUAGGGAAUCUUCCGCAAUGGGCGAAAGCCUGACGGAGCAACGCCGCGUGAGUGAUGAAGGUCUUCGGAUCGUAAAACUCUGUUAUUAGGGAAGAACAAAUGUGUAAGUAACUAUGCACGUCUUGACGGUACCUAAUCAGAAAGCCACGGCUAACUACGU